UGGCUGAAUGUUUUUGUAACAGCUCAGGUUUUAUAACACAAUAUUGGAGAGUGCAGACAGCGACGUUUAUCUGCAACGGAAGAGGUUACAUGUUAGGUUAUACCGAAUAGAUACAAAUAAGGAAACAACCAUGGUCUGACUGAUAAUAAAAGCUAGCAUCUACGUGGUGAGGAAGAUCCGGGCCUCCAUUGAUGCAGGAGAGCAACUGGAAAAGCCCAUCACAACACCAUGUAGUGCUAGCGCUGGACACGAGUCAAGAGGAAGCAUUACUGCGGCCGCUCUGAAUCCAGCACCUGAGGAAGGUGUUGGUGGAGCAACAUGCUUGAUGACGUCCUCAGGAACGUCUGUGCAAAAUUCUGGCUCUUCCUGACGUUAAAUAUCAUGCUGGACACUGGAACUGUGGUCUCCGCAGUGGAUUUGGGCAUAACAGUAAAAUGGGAUAAUGGAUAAUUCAAUGUUGUAUAUACAGAACCGUUUACAUGUUAUGGUCAACAUAUAUUUGGCCAAACUAAAGUUGUACAAACAGACCCUUACGGACUUCUUUCCAGUGUCUAUGCUGUACUCGGGGACCAAUAUCGAGCUAAUGACACACAUCCUUUUUCACAGCACAUUUUGUCUUACCAUAGCAAAAUAACAGGAGCAACUAAUAACAAUGAGCUAACUCACAAAACAGGCACCUGAAUGCAAUCCAAACUGUAUGUUAUUAGUACCUGGUAAGUCAUCAUGUUUUCUGUGAGAAAAGCCUGUAUACUGCAGUUUAUGAAGGCCAACUCACCAACCUCUCUCCAGGGGCUGAGCAGGCCUGAUGUUUCUUCUGCUGUUACAAUAAAUAAAACGAUUAAAAAAAA